ACCAGCGUAGUAUACGCACAAACCUGUAGACAUCACAAUCACAACUCUGCUACCCGGCCAUCUCAGCAAGCGCCAUGCCCGAGUAGGAGGGCACGGGCGCGAGCCUGAGCGGAGCGGCGUUGGUGCAGAUCUUGGUGAUAGUAGCAAAUUUUUAAAUGAGAACUUUGAAGACCGAAGAGAAGAAAGGUUCCAUGUGAACGACACUUGCACAUGGGUAAGCCGAUCCCAAGGGAUAGGGUAACCCCGACAGACAACGUGAUCUCGUGUGUUGCCCGAAAGCAAAUCGGGUUAAGAUUUCCUGAGCCGAGAUGUGGCGGUUGACGGCGACGUUAGGAAGCCCGGAGACGCUGGCAGGUGCCUCGGGAAGAGUUAUCUUUUUCUGCUUAACGGACUGCCAACCCUGGAAUCGGUUUAGCCGAAGGUAGGGUCUAGCAGUCAGAAGAGCACCGCACGUCGCUCGGUGUCCGGUACGCCCCCGACGGCCCUUAAAAAUCCGGAGGACCGAGUACCAUCCAUGCCCGAUCGUACUCAUAACCGCAUCAGGUCUUCAAGGUGAACAACCUCUAGCC
rnacentral:ncRNA from 2 species